rnacentral:rRNA from 1 species
AUGUAUUUGCGUUGUGCAGUACACGAUUCUCCAACCAAAUGGGCAGCAUGGCUUCCUCAGGCAGAGGUUUGGUAUAACUCUAUAUACCACUCGUCCCUGGGUUGCAUUCCUUACAAAGCACUGUAUGGGCAAGAUCCAAAUGUUGGACAGUUCGCAGGUUAGUCUACUUCUCUGCACCCGGAUGUUUAGACCUGGUUGGCCUCUCAGUCAGAGCAUACAUCACUGUUAAAGGAUCAUCUCGCUCGAGUGCAGUGGAAGUACAAGCACUUCGCGGAUAAGAAACGAUCUGAUCGCCAAUUUGCCGAAGGAGAAAUGGUAUACCUGCACUUACAGCCAUAUGCUCAGUCUUCUGUGGUCAACCGUCCUUGUCCAAAGCUAGCUCUCAAAUAUUUUGGCCCUUUCAAGGUGUUGGAAAAAGUGGGAAAUGCAGCAUACAAACUAGAGUUACCCCGUGGCAGUAUGGUCCACCCUGUGUUUCAUGUAUCUCAACUCAAGGGCCAUGUGCCGGAUCAUACUCCGAUGUUUACUACUCUUCCGAUUCCACUCGAUCUAUCAGCACCUGGUGUGAUACCGGAGGAGAUUCUGGAUCACCGCCCGGUCAAAAAGGGCAAUGCAUCUUAUCUUCAGAUCCUGGUCAAGUGGUCAUCGAUCCCUGCUGCGUCAGCGACCUAG